rnacentral:rRNA from 1 species
UACGUAGGUGGCAAGCGUUGUCCGGAUUUACUGGGUGUAAAGGGCGCGUAGGCGGGUGUGCAAGUCAGAUGUGAAAUGCCAAGGCUUAACCAUGGAGCUGCAUUUGAAACUGUACAUCUUGAGUAUCGGAGGGGCAGGCGGAAUUCCUAGUGUAGCGGUGAAAUGCGUAGAUAUUAGGAGGAACACCAGUGGCGAAGGCGGCCUGCUGGACGACAACUGACGCUGAGGCGCGAAAGCGUGGGGAG